AUGUCUGGAAUCCCGAAGAGAUUUGGGAGUGCUCGCAAGAGAACCGGAACACAGGUGCUGCAUGGCUGUCGUCAGCUCGUGUCGUGAGAUGCUGGGUUAAGUCCCGCAACGAGCGCAACCCUUGUCAUUAGUUGGUUACGAAAGGCACUCUAAUGAGACUGCCGGUGACAAACCGGAGGAAGGUGGGGAUGACGUCAAGUCCUCAUGGCCCCAUGGGUAGGGCUUCACACGUCAUACAAUGGUCGGGACAGAGGGUCGCCAACCCGCGAGGGGGAAGCCAAUCCCAGAAACCCGAUCGUAGUCCGGAUCGCAGUCUGCAACUCGACUGCGUGAAGUCGGAAUCGCUAGUAAUCGUGAUCAGCAUGUCGCGGUGAAUACGUUCCCGGGUCUUGCACACACCGCCCGCCACACCAUGGGGAGGGUUUACCAGCGAAGUUAGCCUAACCGUAAGGAGGGCGACCACGGCAGGAUUCAUGACUGGGGUGAAGUCGUAACAAGGUAG
rnacentral:misc_RNA from 1 species